rnacentral:rRNA from 1 species
UACGUAGGGUGCAAGCGUUAUCCGGAAUUAUUGGGCGUAAAGAGCUCGUAGGCGGUUUGUCGCGUCUGCUGUGAAAACCCGAGGCUCAACCUCGGGCCUGCAGUGGGUACGGGCAGACUAGAGUGCGGUAGGGGAGAUUGGAAUUCCUGGUGUAGCGGUGGAAUGCGCAGAUAUCAGGAGGAACACCGGUGGCGAAGGCGGGUCUCUGGGCCGUAACUGACGCUGAGGAGCGAAAGCAUGGGGAGCGAACAGG